rfam:Atopobium deltae strain DNF00019 genomic scaffold Scaffold23, whole genome shotgun sequence.
AAAGAAGAUGGUAAGGGCACACGGUGGAUGCCUUGGCACAGAAAGCCGAUGAAGGACGUGACAAGCUGCGAUAAGCCACGGUGAGGAGCACAUAUCUUUUGACCCGUGGAUUUCCGAAUGGGAAAACCCAAUAGGAUUCAUCUCCUAUUACUGGACGCCGAACACAUAAGCGUCUAAGAGACAACCUGGGGAACUGAAACAUCUAAGUACCCAGAGGAACAAAAAUCAACCGAGAUUCCCCUAGUAGUGGCGAGCGAACGGGGAGCAAGGUCAAACCGACAAUAGCCUAAAAGCAUGUAGGCCUAUGCGUUGUCGGGGUUGUAGGGAUGCUAUUUUGAUGAGCUACAUCUCAUCUUGACAGUUACAAAAUGAGCUAUUAGCCAAAUGGUGUGGAAAAGCCAACGAAACAAGGUUAAAGUCCUGUAGGCGAAAAUAUCUCAUCUGUUUUAGCAUUACCUGAGUACUGCCAGACACGUGAAACCUGGUGGGAAGCAGGGGGGACCACCCUCCAAACCUAAAUACUUUUCUGUGACCGAUAGUGAACAAGUACCGUGAGGGAAAGGUGAAAAGCACCCCGGAAGGGGAGUGAAAUAGUACCUGAAACCGUGUGCCUACAAGCAGUCGGAGCAGUUAUUUAUAACUGUGACGGCGUGCCUUUUGUAGAAUGAGCCAGCGAGUUACGAUAUGUGGCAAGGUUAAGCUUAAAAGCGAGCCGCAGCGACAGCGAGUCUGAAUAGGGCGCACAAGUCGCAUGUCGUAGACGCGAAGCCAGGUGAUCUAUCCAUGAGCAGGCUGAAACGGGGGUAAGACCCCGCGGAGGGCCGAACCCACUUAGGUUGAAAACUGAGGGGAUGACUUGUGGAUAGGGGUGAAAGGCUAAUCAAACCUGGAGAUAUCUCGUUCUCCCCGAAAUAGCUUUAGGGCUAGCCUCAGACGUUUACCUGCGGAGGUAGAGCACUGAAUGGUCGCGGGGGCCUCACCGCCUACCAACAUCAAUCAAACUCCGAAUGCCGUAUGGUCUAAAGUCUGGGAGUCAGAACAUGUGGGCUAAGCCGUGUGUUCGAAAGGGAAACAGCCCAGACCGUCCGCUAAGGUCCCCAAAUCCAUGCUAAGUGGCAAAGGAUGUGCGUUUGCUCAGACAACCAGGAUGUUGGCUUAGAAGCAGCCACCCAUUUAAAGAGUGCGUAAUAGCUCACUGGUCGAGUGGACAUGCGCCGACAAUAUACGGGGCUAAGUAUGGUACCGAAGCGACGGACUAGAUUUUAUCUAGUGGUAGGGGAGCUUUCUGUAUUGGGUUGAAGCUGAAGGGUAACCUUUGGUGGACUAUACAGAAGUGAGAAUGCUGGCAUGAGUAACGAGAGAGGUGUGAAAAACACCUCCGCCGUAAAUCCAAGGUUUCCUGGGCAAGGCUAAUCCUCCCAGGGUCAGUCGGGAGCUAAGACAAGGCCGGAAGGCGUAGUCGAUGCACAGCAGGUAGACAUUCCUGCACCACCAAAAAAACGUUAUCACCAAUGGGGUGACGAAGAAGGGUAGCUCAAGCGGGGUUCUGGACGUCCCCGUGAAGCCACGUAGGCUGAAAAGUAGUUAAAUGCGCUUUUCAUAUAGGCUGAGGUGGCAGACGAAACGAUUGAGUGAAGUGAGUAAGCCCAUGCUUCCAAGAAAAACCUCUAGGGAGUUUUGAGGUGCCCGUACCGCAAACCGACACAGGUGGAUGGGUAGAACAUACCAAGGCGAUCGGGAGAACUAUGGUUAAGGAACUCGGCAAAAUUGCCCCGUAACUUCGGGAGAAGGGGUGCCGAGCCUGGUGACAAAACUUGCUUUUGAAGCUGGGUUCGGUCUCAGUAAAGAGGUCCAAGCGACUGUUUAUCAAAAACACAGGACUCUGCUGAAGUCGUAAGACGACGUAUAGGGUCUGACGCCUGCCCGGUGCCGGAAGGUCACGAGGAGCUGUCAGCUUUGGCGAAGCAGCAAAUCUAAGCCCCGGUAAACGGCGGCCGUAACUAUAACGGUCCUAA